rnacentral:rRNA from 1 species
UACGUAGGGGGCGAGCGUUGUCCGGAUUUAUUGGGCGUAAAAGGCUUGUAGGUGGCCACGUCAAGUCGGAUGUGAAAUCUCCCGGCUCAACUGGGAGGGGUCAUUCGAUACUGGCGGGCUCGAGGCCGGUAGGGGGAAGCGGAAUUCCCGGUGUAGUGGUGGAAUGCGUAGAUAUCGGGAGGAACACCAGCGGCGAAGGCGGCUUCCUGGACCGGUUCUGACACUGAGGAGCGAAAGCGUGGGGAGCGAUCCGG